UGGGGAAUAUUGGACAAUGGGCGAAAGCCUGAUCCAGCCAUGCCGCGUGUGUGAAGAAGGUCUUCGGAUUGUAAAGCACUUUAAGUUGGGAGGAAGGGCAGUAAGUUAAUACCUUGCUGUUUUGACGUUACCGACAGAAUAAGCACCGGCUAACUUCGUGCCAGCAGCCGCGGUAAUACGAAGGGUGCAAGCGUUAAUCGGAAUUACUGGGCGUAAAGCGCGCGUAGGUGGUUCAGUAAGUUGAAGGUGAAAUCCCCGGGCUCAACCUGGGAACUGCCUCCAAAACUGCUGAGCUAGAGUAUGGUAGAGGGUAGUGGAAUUUCCUGUGUAGCGGUGAAAUGCGUAGAUAUAGGAAGGAACACCAGUGGCGAAGGCGACUACCUGGACUAAUACUGACACUGAGGUGCGAAAGCGUGGGGAGCAAACA
rnacentral:rRNA from 1 species